GAAAGGGUGUGGGGGAAGGAUUGCAUGGAGUUCAAGCCGGAGAGAUGGAUUUCAGAGAAAGGGAGGUUGAGGCACGAGCCGAGCUACAAGUUUUUGUCGUUUAAUUCUGGGCCAAGGACAUGUUUGGGGCGGGACAUCGCUUUUACUCAGAUGAAGGCUGUCGCGGCAGCUGUGGUGUACAACUUUCAUGUUGAAGUGGUGAGAAGGCAUGUUGUGGGGCCAAAGCCGUCGAUAAUUCUUCACAUGAAGAAUGGGUUGAUGGUAAAGAUUAGGAAGAGAACUAAUGAAUAAGAUUCUACCAUUCUGUAUCUAAAUAUCCU
rnacentral:misc_RNA from 1 species